GAGCAAGGCGGCAACUCGAGGUGUGAACAUUGAAGCGAUGCCUACGCAAGUACUGUCUUUCAUACAACACAUAGCAGUGUUCGAUGCUAAAUACAGUCAACGUAAUAAAUUGAUUUGAAGGAUUAUGGUCGAAAUAGUUUCAUCGGUCCUUUUCGCGCCAAUGGUGGCAACGAGUGACGCUUUCAAAACUGCAGGCACAUCGGUCUGCAUCUUUUGUCCGUCGGGCAAUACGACAAUCGAAAAGAUAAGAAGAGAGCGAGAGAGAAGUUCAAUGAGAAGCUGGACUCAGCGCGUCUGCACGCGCCACUCUACUUUUCGACGGUUAGCUUCAAUUUUAGAAUAAAGUUAGCCACAGGAUGAGCCGAGUCGCGGAGUUCUUAAGAAAGUCCAGAGAGUUUUCCGGCGGCAAGUGCAUAUUCUAUCUGUUCAAAGCGUCUGGGAUCGCUGCAAUAAGCCUGAACACCGAAACUCCAUUGGACGCGAACGGGGAGACGUAUCGAUUCUCGCAUUCGGCCAAAGAUGUCGCGCCCAGCUUAUUCCUCAUAAUUUUCAUGGUUACAACGACCUGCGUGACUGCUUACGGAUACUUUGCCAAGUCAACGCAGAACAACGACUCCGUUUAUUAUACGUCUGAUGUCGUUGGAUUUUCCAGCGCGAUAUGCAUC